rnacentral:rRNA from 1 species
GUGCCAGCCGCCGCGGUAAUACGGAAGAUGCGAGCGUUAUCCGGAUUUAUUGGGUUUAAAGGGAGCGUAGGCGGCUUGUUAAGUCAGCGGUUAAAUGUCAUCGCCCAACGAUGUCAUGCCGUUGAAACUGGCGGGCUUGAAUACACACAAGGACGGUGGAAUUCGUCGUGUAGCGGUGAAAUGCUUAGAUAUGACGAAGAACUCCGAUUGCGAAGGCAGCCGUCUGGGGUGCGAUUGACGCUGAGGCUCGAAAGUGCGGGUAUCAAACAGGAUUAGAUACCCUGGUAGUCCGCACAGUAAACGAUGAAUGCUCGUUAUGGGCGAUAUAUUGUCCGUGACUUAGGGAAACCAUUAAGCAUUCCACCUGGGGAGUACGCCGGCAACGGUGAAACUCAAAGGAAUUGACGGGGGCCCGCACAAGCGGAGGAACAUGUGGUUUAAUUCGAUGAUACGCGAGGAACCUUACCCGGGCUUGAACUGCGCCAGACAUAUACAGAGAUGGAUAUUCCCUUCGGGGCUGUGUGGAGGUGCUGCAUGGUUGUCGUCAGCUCGUGCCGUGAGGUGUCGGCUUAAGUGCCAUAACGAGCGCAACCCUUGCCGUCAGUUGCCAUCACGUUUUGGUGGGCACUCUGAUGGGACUGCCAUCGCAAGAUGUGAGGAAGGUGGGGAUGACGUCAAAUCAGCACGGCCCUUACGUCCGGGGCUACACACGUGUUACAAUGGGGGGCACAGCGCGCCGCUACCCGGUGACGGGAUGCGAAUCGUGAAAUCCCCUCUCAGUUCGGACUGGAGUCUGCAACCCGACUCCACGAAGCUGGAUUCGCUAGUAAUCGCGCAUCAGCCAUGGCGCGGUGAAUACGUUCCCGGGCCUUGUACACACCGCCCGU